rnacentral:rRNA from 1 species
CGGCAGGCCUAAUACAUGCAAGUCAAGGGGAUAGCAAUAUCACCGGCGGACGGGUGCGUAACGCGUACACAACGUGCCCAAGGGCGGAGGAAAGCGGCGGGAAACUGCCGGUAAUACUCCAUGGUGUUGUUGAGUGGCAUCACUUAACAACUAAAGUACAAGCGCCCUUGGAUCGGUGUGCGUUCGAUUAGCUAGUUGGCGGGGUAACGGCCCACCAAGGCUUCGAUCGAUAGGGGGUGUGAGAGCAUGACCCCCCACACGGGUACUGAGACACGGACCCGACUCCUACGGGAGGCAGCAGUAAGGAAUAUUGGACAAUGGGCGGAAGCCUGAUCCAGCCAUGCCGCGUGAAGGACGAAGGCGCUCAGCGUUGUAAACUUCUUUUGGAUGGGAACAAUAACUCCGACUUGUCGGAACUUGAGGGUACCAUCAGAAUAAGCACCGGCUAACUCCGUG